GGCAAGAUGGCCGAGCGGUUAAGGCGGUAGACUCGAAAUCUACUCUCUUCGGAGGCGUCGGUUCAAAUCCGGCUCUUGUCG
rnacentral:tRNA from 2 species